rnacentral:lncRNA from 1 species
GUUAACUCCACAUCUGACCUCUAUGGGAACAGAGCAGCCUCAGCUCCUCUCCUCCCCUCCUGACAGGCUGUGGGAACAAGGGGGGACAGAUCUUUACUUUGCCUCUCUGAGCCUUGGAGCUCUGGGAUGCGGCCCUGGACUGAGUGGGACAUGUUGGGACGGGACAGUUUCAGCAGGAGACCCAGGCUCUGAAGAUUGAAGCAGCUCGGACUGAUUCUUGGAUCUGAAAUGGCACAGUUGGCAGAGUGAGGCUGCAGUUGUUUAGUCAGUCAUUACCCAGUCAGAUGGGUAGUUAGUCAGCCAGUAAAUCGGUCAGUGGGGUUCCUCCCUACUGGGUCAACUCCACUUUACGCAUAUCCUCAUCUGAACUCUGAGGUGACUCAGACUUACCGAGAAGGACCUGUGGGCAUGGUGAGUGGCAAACACCCAUCUCCAUCUCUCACAUGCUUUUUUUUACUCACAUUUUUUCCCUUUGACUCUAUUUCUUCUGUGGGUGUAGCAUUUCAUUUCCAAACGUUAUUAGUUUUGCUCUGUUGUGUGCCGCUCCUCGGUUUUUGUCAUGCUUUUCUUUCUUUGGCAUCUGACUUGUCACAAACUGAACACAAGACAGCAGAUAUGAUCAAAGCUCAGUGUUGUCUGAUGAUAUGGAUUUUAUGCAGUUGUCAUCGUCGAGCUUUGAUCUCAGGGUGAUGAGACCCGGGGUAGACAGCGCAUCUGUUUGUACAACAAACAAGUAGUUGGUUUUACAGCCAACACUGGCUUACCUAAGAUAGUUUACGUGCAAGGCUCAUGAGGGCUGAAUGGAAUAAGAUCUGCUUUGACUUGAGGCCUCUUUGAAACUUUAAAACAAACAAAAAAAUAAUCUUUUGAGGCCCAAUCAAUAAAAAACUAGUAAAAUAUUAAUGAACCUGAACAUGGUUUUGAACUUUUGCAUAAGAAAAGCAGAAUAUAUUUCACACACACACACCUGUAUGUCUGUUAUCUCUUGGAGCCACACUCUUUCUCAGUCGACUCCUGCCCUGACUGUGGGUUUUUUUUUUUUUUGUUGAAUGUCAUUAUCAUACCACAGUUUGGAGAAGCAGUUUGGUGUGAUAAAGUAAGCCUGAAGUCAAGUGCACACAACAUUUCUGGAGGAAUAGCUCAAAUAUUUGAGCGUGCUCCAAGGCUUUAUCAGGGUCUGCUAAAUCGGUGAGUUGUUCCCAUGUGUAAGAGAAACGUUACACAAGGAUAAGUCUAAUGCUUUUAGAUAAGGUGUAAGCUGCUGGACUUCAAAUUCUAUAUUGAAUGUAGCAGCAUGAAUGAGACAGUCACUGUUGUAGCUGAACGUAAAGGGCGCUUAAAACCAGCCAAAAUAAACAUUUAGUGCCAUUUUGGUUUUGAUACAUGUACAGAUAUGUAUCAGACAGACUAAAAGUGACACUCAACCUUUUUAAAUUCUUUAUCAGCUUUUGUUUGUUUGAUUUGUAACUCUCCAUUUUUACACUCAAGCUGCUAGUGAUAGUAAGAGUGGAAAAACAGUGAGUCUAAAGCCUUCAAAGUAAAAUGCAUGCUUUUGAAAAUAUUGGAAAUUUGUCAUUAUGAAUUCACAUUACUACUACAUUACUUUCAUUUGUUGAAAAGUUCCAAAAAAUAACCUCAGGUAUGAAUCCCAUGUAGUUUUCUGUUGGAUGGAGGUGUGAGAAAAGUGUUAAUCCAAACAAGUGACCCACAUCAGUAUGAAAAAGAUGCCAUAUAUGUGGGUUUGGGAGUCUAUCUGUGAGAUCCUGGCUUUAAAUCUAAACUCAUCUCCAGAACAGGCCUAACACUGCAGAUUCACUUUCAGAGGCAGACGCCGACAUGGGCGUUGUCUUGAGAAAACAAUGAACACAUGUUUGUUAUUUGGGUUCGGCUCCUAAUUUGGCUGUCAUCAACGAUGUUUAUGUGAUUGUGAGCGUAUGUGAGUGGACGCAUGUGAAAAGUGUGUGUGUUCUCCAGCACCUGUGUCAUUUUAGAGUCAUUUGCGGUGUGUGAGUGUCAGUGUCCUGUGUUUCCCGGCUCUUUGUGUGUCUUCUGGUUCCUCUUAGAUCAGCUGGAAAGUGUUUAAGUGUACAGGACAGCAUGGUUUCCCUCGGCUCUUUCAGCCCCGGCCAUGCGUCCACCACAGAGAGUUUCUGUCUGAGCAGAGGCAAUUACAGCACACAUCCAAAGCCAUCUAAGCUGGGGAACCAAAUGAAGGAGCCUUUGAUAGUCCCCCGACUGAUGCAUAUUUACUUUUUAUGACCAACCAAGUAGUAAACAGCUUGCCUUGUUGGCGCUGAGGCGGGAUUUUAAAUACAGGCCUGUUCACACACAAACAUGCAAAUAAAUGCACACAUGCACCAGACUUUUGAAGAAAGGCCGAGAAAAGCAAAUAGUCAAUUCUUCAGCGAACACCGGGGAUAUACCCGCGGCCAAGUGACACUGCCAGUUUGAUCUGUUUGCUAGUCACUGAUUUCAUAAUCAGGUUUGUCUAGCUAUGCCUUUUGUCUGCAGACACAGCAGAAGCAGCAGUAGCCUCCAAUUGAAGCCAUGUGUGGUGGAAAAACAGGCCUCAGUUUGUGGAGAGUUUGCAUGCUUGGAGUGGGAGGGAGCCUGCCGGUUGCAGAGGUCACAAUCCGAACACGCCAACUUCUCUUCGCCCUCUCACACGCAAUGCUGACGGUAGCAUCUCAAUUGUCAGUCAAGGGUGCCUUCCCGAUGCUCCUGUACUCCCCUCCUUUGCUUUUAUCAGAAUAAAAUAACAGGGGGGUAUCACAGGGGUUCUGUUAAAGCUUCAGAUCUUCAAAUUAAAGGCUAAAAGCGUCAAAUUUAGAGGAAUUGCAGAUCAAAUAAAAGACAGACAGAAAGAAAAGGCUCCUGAGAUGCUUUAACAUGAUAGGUGCCGUCUAAAACUGCCAGAACAUUGUGUUCAGGGUGUGCCACAAACAAUAAAAAAGUGGCUGGUUUGGUUGAGUCUAGUGUGAUACUACAUUAGCAUAAGCAUCUGCUAAUAGCAGCAGGGUAAUAUCCUAGUGUCCUCAAGUGAACCCAGCAGUCAGUUGUUGUUGUAUCUGAGACUCCCUUCACUGCAACGUCCCAUUCACACAGUCAUACACCUAUGAUCAACGCUUUCCUCUUUCAUAUUUUCCAUCAGCGAUGCUUCACCGUCUAUAUUCCUUUUACUGUGUCUUACAUCUCCUUUUUUUUCUCGUGUUAUUUCAGAGUCUUUUCCUUCCUGUUGAAGUAUGAUCUCUAUAUCCACAGCUAAUGGCUAUUAGCUGAAAUAGCUUCGUAUAUUUGAUUCAGAGAUAUCCCAUACUGGACGUUAAUGCAGCCGUGCCAUUUCCCCUCAUGCAUUAUGAACGAUCAUGUUCCUGUCAGAUCAUUUUUUCAUUUCCUAAUUUUUCCUGUAAGAGACAGGUCAGUGCCUUUAAAGAGAUAACAUUCAAAUGAUUGAGCAUCAUACUUCUUGAGGUUACAUUUUAGAGUCUUUUUAGUCUUGUGUCUUAUUCUGUUUCAUUUCUGAAAAAAAAAAGAUUGCCGAUGAUUGAUACUGCAUGAAAUCACAUCCCCAGCAAAUUGCAUUAGCUCAGUGUAAAGUUGAUUAUUGUUAAUGGAGCAUGAGAAAAAGCUCCUGCUUCUUACAUCAGUUACAUGUGAGGGCUGGUUUAUCAAGACACAGUGAUCUAAUGAGCUAAAUAAUGAAACUCUGGUCAACAAGCAUGGGUAAUGACUUUUUGAUGCUCUCAGAGGUGUGACUGCUUAAGACAGAGGUCUCACGAUUUACGUCUUUGAUCAGUUGUCUGUGUCUGAUUCAUUUAAGAUGGGAGUAAAGUAUCUCUGCAUUAUUUCUCCUCGAUCAGACAGUAUGCUUGAAAAAAAAAAACAAGCUGUAAUGAUAAGCCCCAGACCACUUCUGUGACGUGUGUAGUUUUUUUUUUUUUUAACUGCGGCUAAAAAGGGCCAGACCAGCAAAACUGUUUGAAAAGGGAAACUGAUACUGACAAAAUCUUUCUUGCAGUUUCUCCCUGAUUCCUGCACAAAAUAAACAGGAACAGUUGCAAUCGUAAUCAUUGCUACAGUCCUUAAAGGUUUACAGUGAUAAGCCAAUCUAAAUAUUUUUACUUGGACAUGAAUGGUAAACAUCUAAACAGAUGCUCCAGCAUAAACUUCAUUUCUCUGCCUUUUUCUUUCACUCUCUUUCAAUUUUAUUCCUUUUUCUUCUUCAUUUACAAAACAGACUAACUUCAAAAAUGUUUUUCACUUGACAGAAUUUUACCUUGACACUUUAAUUAACCCAUACAGGCAACUAAGAAAAUUUAUUUUAAGUUCUGUGUAGACUUGUCCCUUUUUCAUCUCCGAGAGGCUUUGCAGUCAUUCUUGCACGGUGACUGAAAUAGUUUUCUGACCGUUUUCUGACACACUUUUUUCUUUCCCACAGACAUAUUUUCACACUUAAAUAUGUUCCUCUACAUCUCUUGCUUCUUCUUCAUCCGUGUUUUGAGAAAGCGGUGUGACAAAUCCCAGUGGCACCUUUGUGUAAGAUACAGGGUGACAUCAGCGCUGCACAGCAGGUUUCAGAUGUGCGGUCACGACCACAUAUAUCACAACACCUCACCAGCUGAAUAGUGCCAAGUAUAGAUGGCAGAAUUACAUGAGAACCCGCUUUGGGCAAAUGGUGCGGCUUUGUCACCUUUGUCAGAAAAUGAAGUGAGAAAGUUAUAGAGGGAAAGUGGAGGAUAAAUGUGGAAGUUUAUGUAAACAUAGAUGUUGGAGUCCAGUUUGUGAGGUACUAAAAGCUGCUAUUCUGCAUUUUUAGGUGACCAAAUGCUAACUGAGCUCAAUAUUAUUUCCACUCUUCUUUGUCCUUUUACCUAACAAGCAGUUCCUCCAGGCUGUGUGAAUGAGGUCAUUUUGUUCGCCUGUUACUGCAAACCUUGCACUUUCUAAAUGUGGUGACUUGUUCACACCUUCAGCCUCAUGAAGAAUAAUAACUUCCAUCAGGCUGUAAAUUGUGUUCUAUACGACUCAUGUAAGCUGGAAAGUUGACAUGAUGCUUUCACAAAUAGGAGUCAGUUUUCUCUGGACUCAUGGAAAUGGCAUCAAAACUGAACACUCAAGUGCUACUGAAGCAAAACUGCCAUUUAUUUGAUGGUCCCAGCUUCACAAACACAAAAGAUUUACUGCUUUUUUUAAGGGAAACUGUCUACUGCUGCAAACUCAUUUUUACCUCCCUUUGUCCAAAUCGAAAGGUUUCCUGAGACUGUGGGGGUGCGUAAUGACUAUGUUUUUAAAAAAAUAGUGUUUCUUCUUCUUAUUGUUGUGUAAUGUGCGUGACAUGCAGUUUGCCUUAAUUAUGUGUACAUUUUGGUAAUGACUGGUAUGUGUGCAGCACUCCAAUCAAAGCAGAAAUGUAAAACACAAAAAGGGUGUAUAGUACUUUGCAAUAUUGUACAGUACUGAAUAGUACCUAUUAGAGAUAGACAGACAAAACCAACGUUAUCAGCAUCUUUAAAUAUAAUAAUACAUCUGUCUUAUCCCUCUUACGCAGCAUAUUAAAUCCAAAACAGUUAUUGACUGCUGUGUAGUGUUGUGUGGUAUGGUAGAAUCUUUUUAUUGACAGCAGUAUCAGCCAUGUUUACCAAACUCUAGCUUCCAAUAUUUGUGUCUUUCCAUCAGUGCAUUACAAAUACUACCAAUGCAUAUUACCGACUAAGACAGCCAUGUAUAUUAGGUUUAAAUGUAUGUGGAAUAUUUAAUCUGUACACAAAAUUUCUUAUUUUUUUUAUCUCAAUAUUUAACUUACACAGUUUUUCUUUCUGAACAAAUUUUAAUCCAAACAUCUAUUUUCCAUUUUUGUCUACUGAAUAAAUAUUCUCUUACGUUCACCAAUUUCAAUUUCAAUUUAUUAGUAUUAUUUAAGUUUAUUUUGUGAAAUUCAAGAGCAAACAAAAAAAAAAGAAAGAAAAGGAAAAAAAAAAUCAACAUAUUUUGGUAUCGGCUAUCAGCUGACCUGCUCUCUCAUUAUAAGUAUCGGUAUCAGCUUCUGAAAAACUCUAUUAUUUUAUAUAUCAUUCUGUAUCGUAUCAUGUCAAAUACAUUGUAUUGUAUUAUGUUGUAUUGUGUGUUAUCGUGUUGUAGAGACUCAAACCAUACCAUAUCACAAUACAUCAUACUGCCUCAUAAUGCAUUGUAUCAUAUUCUACUGUAUUGAGUCAUACUCAACUGUAAAUAUACGUAUUAUAUCAUGUAUCAUAAUUUUUGUAUAUACAUUUUGUUAUAUCAUACAACAUUGUUUUCUAUGAGUUUUAUGACACUUGUAAAAAUCAUAUUGUAUCAUUGUGUAUGGUUUGGUUGGGUCUGGUAUCAUACAGUAUUUUAUUGUUUUAUAUCAUAUUGCAUCAUGUCAUACUAUCUGGUUAGGUUUGGUUUGGUUUGGUUUGGUUUGAUAUUGUAUUGUAUCUUAUUGCAUCAUUAGGCUUUUUUACCCUUUGCAUUAACUGAGUUAUUAAAGAUUUGUGAACUUUAGUAUUUUUAUUUUCUUUUGUUCAAAAGGCAAAGUAAUUAACAUAAAUUCAAAUCAAUUUUAAGAUUACUUAAUGAUCAAAGUAAUCAUCAGUGGCAGUCCUAAUUAACUGUGCUAAUGAUUUUUAAAGACCUCAUUAGACAUUAACAUAUUCAACCUUUAAAUGCCACCCUGUACGUCACUCUGCUUGUCAAAAGUAUGUCACUUCACCACGGCUUUCAUUAUGCCGAUGAUACUAGUGUCACCAGUCAAUUAUUUCCCACAUGAAGCUUUCACGCCCAGCAAACAAACACUGACUCACUCACGACAGAGGGCAUGACCACUUUCUUUGUUGAACUCACACUUAGACUCUUUCUAUUUCUUUCUAUCACACACUACACUCUCCGGCUCAUGCAUGAGAGCAUACAACACUCACAAGAAUGCAUUUACAAAGGCAAUCCCUCAUUCCCCUUUUCCUACAACUGUUCCAUGAAGCACAACUUUUAUGUUCCGCAUCUCUCAGCCUAGACAAACAUAUUUAUUCAUGAUUCCUGCACAGGGAGGGGUGGGCUGUUAACACUGUUUGACAGCAGAGACACAUUUCUCUGUCUGGAAGAAUUUUUCACGCCUCUGUUAGGUUGUACAACAUGUACUGUGGCACUGUGCAUAAACUCGUCUGCCUUAGGAAAACAACCAGUCCCUUCACACAAUGCUGUAAUUAUGUCAUUGAGAUUAUGUCAGCAGACACUGUAAUGUUUUUAUGUACCUGCAUGUGCAGACAGGAGUCGAGCUUUGACCUUAAAAAACAGGCGUGUGGAUUUCAUUGUGAUAAUAAUGGAGCUUUUGAUGGGUGAUGUUUUAUAUCUGAUGGAUUUUUGAGUGAAAAAUGACAAAAAUAAGCAUCACAAUUAUUCCAAACUACAAAAAAUAAAAUGUCUUGAUUUCUCUUUUGUGAUCGAAAAGUGUUCAAAGGAUCUCUGUUGAGGCUCAGCCCUUAACUCCUCCUCACUGCUCAACAAUCCUGUCAUUAUUCCGUCCCCUCACCAGGGUGGGCCUGGAAUUUUCCCUGCAAAAAAGUGUAAACAACAACAACAAAAGAUAAUAAUACCCGGCUACGUUCCAAGUCUUCAGGAGUGCAAAAACAGAGCUGAAACUUUUUUUUCUUUCUUAUCUUCUCCACUCUCAACUCACCCAGCAACAUCAAACCAUCUCUGACCUGAAAUCCCCUCGCUUAAUGUGACACAGAGACAAAACAGACCCAUGUCCGUUCGUUGUUGUUGAUUUCCAAUCCUUACAGCAACCUCCAGAUCUGUCUAUGUUGCAUUUUCCCCUCCUCACACAUUCAAUAGGUGGAGUAUUGAUAUGUUGUAGCAGCAGACAGUUUGCGUUGCUCUCGCUAUUUUAAACAAGCUGUGUUUUCUCUCACACCUGAGUUGUUUUAAACAAACCGACCGUCUGGCUGGCACUGCAUGUUCUAACUAAACUCCACAUCUGCUGCAUCCUGCUGAUCCGUGCAGAAGAGAAGUCUGCAGAGUCAUUCCUCACGUCACACUAAUUUAAUAUUUUUGUUACAGAGAUAAGUUGUAUCAUCUUUCAUCCAAAGGGUUACAGGAAUGGUUUGAAGUGCAUCAUAGAUUAUCAUCAGACCACUUCAGGUUUCUACGAUAGAGGUUUUGUUUUGGACUCUCUGAGGAUUUAUGCCUCUCUUUUUCGCUUUUCUUUUAGGUCGCAGGUGCUCCACAGCUGCUGCGGACAGAGGCAUCUGGAGCCUAGGAGGAUGUUGGAGCAGAUACAGAGGGCAGAAGAAGGGUGGAGAGACGCAGAGUUGAUCCCCGCUGUGGUGGAGAGGGUUCCUGGCACCGUGAUUUGAUGCACACAGAGAAACAAAAAUCACAUUGCCAGGGAUUUCCACUCUUUCACAGCUCAGCAGGUGACCGACUUAUAUUUCCACUGUGGGGAGGUUUUGUGUAGACGUCUUGGCUGCC